CUACGGGCCGCUCCAGUGAGGAAUAUUGCACAAUGGAGGAAACUCUGAUGCAGCAACGCCGCGUGGAGGAUGACGCAUUUCGGUGUGUAAACUCCUUUUAUAUGUCAAUAAAAUGACGGUAGCAUAUGAAUAAGCACCGGCUAACUCCGUGCCAGCAGCCGCGGUAAUACGGAGGGUGCAAGCGUUACUCGGAAUCACUGGGCGUAAAGGACGCGUAGGCGGGAUAUCAAGUCAGGUGUGAAAUCCUACAGCUUAACUGUAGAACUGCACUUGAAACUGGUAACCUAGAGUAUGGGAGGGGGAGAUGGAAUUAGUGGUGUAGGGGUAAAAUCCGUAGAUAUCACUAGGAAUACCUAAAGCGAAGGCGAUCUCCUGGAACAUAACUGACGCUAAGGCGUGAAAGCGUGGGGAGCAAACAGGAUUAGAUACCCCCGUAGUC
rnacentral:rRNA from 1 species